GAGUAAGGGUUAUUCGUAGCCCGACCUCCAACCCUUUGUUGUUAUAACUACCUCGUUGCUUUGGCGGGACCGCUCGGUCUCGAGCUGCUGGUCUUCGGCCCGGCAAGUGCCCGCCAGAGUCUACUCAAACUCUUGUUUUAACCGGUCGUCUGAGUUAAACUUUUAAUUAAAUUAAAACUUUCAACAACGGAUCUCUUGGUUCU
rnacentral:misc_RNA from 1 species